rnacentral:rRNA from 1 species
UACGGGGGGGGGGUAAGCGUUGUUCGGAAUUACUGGGGGGAAAGGGCGCGUAGGCGGGAUGGCAAGUCGGUCGUGAAAGACCUCGGCUCAACUGAGGAGUGUCGAUCGAUACUGCCGUUCUUGAGGAUUGCAGAGGAGACUGGAAUUCCCGGUGUAGCGGUGAAAUGUGUAGAGAUCGGGAGGAACACCGGUGGCGAAGGCGGGUCUCUGGGCAAUUCCUGACGCUGAGGCGCGAAAGCGUGGGGAGCAAACGGG